rnacentral:rRNA from 1 species
GACGAACGCUGGCGGCGUGCUUAACACAUGCAAGUCGAACGGAAAGGCCCUGCUUUUGUGGGGUGCUCGAGUGGCGAACGGGUGAGUAACACUUGAGUAACCUGCCCUUGCCUUUGGGAUAACUUCAGGAAACUGGGGCUAAUACCGGAUAGGAGCUCCUGCUGCAUGGUGGGGGUUGGAAGGUUUCGGCGGUUGGGGAUGGACUCGCGGCUUAUCAGCUUGUUGUUGGGGUAGUGGCUUACCAAGGCUUUGCAGGGUAGCAGGCCUGAGAGGGUGACCGGCCACAUUGGGACUGAGAUAAGGCCCAGACUACUACGGGAGGCAGCAGUGGGGAAUAGUGCACAAUGGGCGGAAGCCUGAUGCAGCAACGCCGCGUGCGGGAUGACGGCCUUCGGGUUGUAAACCGCUUUCGCCUGUGACGAAGCGUGAGUGACGGUAAUGGGUAAAGAAGCACCGGCUAACUACGUG